rnacentral:lncRNA from 10 species
UGGUCCAGGAGGAACGAGUCCGAGAACUGGCUGAAGCCGAUGAACAGCGCCGGGAUCCAGCUAGCGGGCAACAAGAGGAAUGAAUAUUCCUGAAGGAGGCAGAUUAUUAGACCCAGAGUAUACUUUCUGAGGUACCCUACGCGAAGGAAGGAUCAUUGCACCAUUACGGAGACGAGGAUACAAACUGUCAGGCCUCUGAGCCCAAGCUAAGCCAUCACAUCUCCUGUGACCUGCACAUAUACAUCCAGAUGACCUGAAGCAAAUGAAGAACCACAAAAAAUAACAUUCCACCAUUGUGAUCUGUUCCUACCCACCCUAACUGAUCAAUUGACCUUAUGACAAUACCCCCUCCCCGCCCUUGCAAUAAUAUACUUUGUCAUACUCCCCCGCCCUUAAGAAGGUACUUUGUAAUAUUCUCCCCGCCCUUGAGAAUGUACUUUGUGAGAUCCACCCCCUGCCUAUAAAAAAUUGCUCCUAACUCCACCGCCUAUCCCAAACCUAUAAGAACUAAUGAUAAUCCCAGCACCCUUUGCUGACUCCUUUCUUGGACACAGCCUGCUUGCACCCAGGUGAAAUAAACAGCCUUGUUGCUCACACAAAGC